rnacentral:misc_RNA from 1 species
GUGAAUCAUCAAAUUUUUGAACGCAAAUUGCACUUCCUGGUAUUCCGGGGAGUAUGCCUGUUUGAGGGUCAGUUUAAAUAAAAAUAGGUGUGGUUGGUGCCUUUCGUGGUGACGCACUGGAUUUGGGUAGUCUUGCCUUCGGUUAAGUUACCUGAAAUUUUGCAUGAUUUUUUUCGAACG